rfam:Myotis davidii contig226816, whole genome shotgun sequence.
ACCAUCCUUUUCUUGGGGUUGCGCUACUGUCCAAUGAACGCCUAGUGAGGGCAGUACUGCUAACGCCGAAACAACACGUUCGCAUCAGGCUGGGCUCUGCUUUGCCUUGGUGCAAUUUUUGGAACA